rnacentral:rRNA from 1 species
UUGAACGCUGGCGGCAGGCCUAACACAUGCAAGUCGAGCGGAUGAAGGGAGCUUGCUCCUGGAUUCAGCGGCGGACGGGUGAGUAAUGCCUAGGAAUCUGCCUGGUAGUGGGGGAUAACGUCCGGAAACGGGCGCUAAUACCGCAUACGUCCUGAGGGAGAAAGUGGGGGAUCUUCGGACCUCACGCUAUCAGACGAGCCUAGGUCGGAUUAGCUAGUUGGUGGGGUAAAGGCCUACCAAGGCGACGAUCCGUAACUGGUCUGAGAGGAUGAUCAGUCACACUGGAACUGAGACACGGUCCAGACUCCUACGGGAGGCAGCAGUGGGGAAUAUUGGACAAUGGGCGAAAGCCUGAUCCAGCCAUGCCGCGUGUGUGAAGAAGGUCUUCGGAUUGUAAAGCACUUUAAGUUGGGAGGAAGGGCAGUAAGUUAAUACCUUGCUGUUUUGACGUUACCAACAGAAUAAGCACCGGCUAACUUCGUG